UACGUAGGGCGCAAGCGUUAUCCGGAAUUAUUGGGCGUAAAGAGCUCGUAGGCGGUUUGUCGCGUCUGCCGUGAAAGUCCGGGGCUCAACUCCGGAUCUGCGGUGGGUACGGGCAGACUAGAGUGAUGUAGGGGAGACUGGAAUUCCUGGUGUAGCGGUGAAAUGCGCAGAGUAUCAGGAGGAACACCGAUGGCGAAGGCAGGUCUCUGGGCAUUAACUGACGCUGAGGAGCGAAAGCGUGGGGAGCGAACAGG
rnacentral:rRNA from 1 species